rnacentral:misc_RNA from 1 species
GAUGAAGAACGUAGCGAAAUGCGAUAAGUAAUGUGAAUUGCAGAAUUCAGUGAAUCAUCGAAUCUUUGAACGCACAUUGCGCCCCUUGGUAUUCCGAGGGGCAUGUCUGUUCGAGCGUCAUUAUAACCCCUCAAGCUCAGCUUGGUGUUGGGGCCUGCUGCACUGGCAGCCCUUAAAAUCAGUGGCGGCGCCAUCUGGCUCUAAGCGUAGUAAUUCUUCUCGCUAUGGAGUCCUGGUGGAUGCUUGCCAUCAACCCCCAAUUUUUCUAUGGUUGACCUCGGAUCAGGUAGGGAUACCCGCUGAACUUAAGCAUAUCAAUAAGCGAGGA